rnacentral:rRNA from 1 species
AUCUCUGUAGAGUCUGCAUAUCAAUAAGCGGAGGAAAAGAAACUAACUAGGAUUCCCUCAGUAACGGCGAGUGAAGCGGGAAGAGCUCAAAUUUGAAAUCUUCAAGGUUCUACCUUGACGAAUUGUAGUUUAAAGAAGUGUUUUCUGUUGGAGUUUUGGUAAAAGUUCUUUGGAAUAGGACAUCAUAGAGGGUGAGAAUCCCGUAUUUGACCAUUAUUUCCAGCUCUGUGAUACACUUUCAAAGAGUCGGAUUGUUUGGGAACGCAGUCCAAAAUGGGUGGUAAAUUUCAUCUAAAGCUUAAUAUUGGCGGGAGACCGAUAGCGAACAAGUACCGUGAGGGAAAGAUGAAAAGAACUUUGAAAAGAGAGUUAAACAGUACGUGAAAUUGUCAAAAGGGAAGCGUUUGACACCAGUGUUGUUUUCUCGAAAAUCAAUUAAAAAAGGCAGGAUUUUGUGUUGUAUUGACUUUAUCAGCUUUCUGCACUCUUUUCUUGUCUUUUUUAAUGCACUUUUCGUUUAACAAGUCAACAUCAAUUUCUUUUGUUGUAAAAGGGUCAUUGGAAGGUGGCUUUCUUUUCGGAGAAAGUGUUUAUAGCCUUUGGCCUCUGCAAUCGGAGAGGAUUGAGGUCUGCAGCGUAGAUCCUUCGGGGUUAAGAAUAGCAUUUGUGCUAAGUUAUAGCCUUUUCAUAGACAACUUGUUGACUAUGAUCUGUCAUGUAGCUUACUCGCAUAUGCUAUUUUACCUACGCUUAGGAUGUUGACGAUCAGCUGAGCGCG